UACGUAGGGGGCUAGCGUUGUCCGGAUUUAUUGGGCGUAAAGAGCGUGUAGGCGGCCAGGUAGGUCCGUUGUGAAAACUCGAGGCUCAACCUCGAGACGUCGGCGGAAACCCUCUGGCUAGAGUCCGGAAGAGGAGAGUGGAAUUCCUGGUGUAGCGGUGAAAUGCGCAGAUAUCAGGAAGAACACCCGUGGCUAAGGCGGCUCUCUAGUACGGUACUGACGCUGAGACGCGAAAGCGUGGGGAGCGAACAGG
rnacentral:rRNA from 1 species